UGGUUGUCAGGGAACCCAAGACUGAAAGAGAAGUCACUCUAAGGCUGUGGAAAUCAGGAAUUUUUUAUUUGUUGUGAAAUGCAGUUGAAGUCAUCUGAUCCAGGCAGUGUAACACUGGCCUGUGAUCAUUGUCCUUAGAAAAUGGAGGGAGGAAUCUCAAAAUCAUGCAAGCUCCAGAACUUCCAAACCAUGAUACUACCAGGUGUUAACUGAGACAGGGUUUCUCUGUGUAGCCCUGGCUUUCCUGGAACUCACUGUGAAGAUCAGGCUGGCCUUGAACUCAGAAAUUUGCCUGCCUCUGCCUUCGAAGUGCUGUGAUUAAAGGUGUGUGCCCUGAAGUCUGGCUAGCUCCCUGUAAACAUUAGUAACUCCAUACUAAUCAGAGAGAGUCCAAGUGUAGAAGGCUAAGGAGUGGCUAAUGUCUC
ensembl:processed_transcript